AAAAAAAAAAGAGCUUCUAGACGACUGAUUGUUUUAAAUAAGUAGCUCAAGAUCUGUCUUUUAUGCACAUUGUGGAAUGAUAUUUUAACUUUUUAGAGCAAUUUCUGAUGUUAGUUCGAAAUUUGAAGAAAGACGUCUUUUUUUUUUUUUUUCACAAGUCGUAUUUGGAUCAUCAUUGAGUGGGAGUUGAUUACAUGGUGAAGUUUGCAUUUUUUAUUUUAAACGUAAUGAAAAAUUCUCAUUCUACCCUAUUACGAAUUGCAAUCGAAUGGAAACAGCGAUUCUUGAGAAAAUUACCGUAGAUGUCCGAUGGAUUCAUGAAAAUUAAGAACAAGCCCAUUCAGAAGUGCUUGAGAUGCACGAGUUAUUUCAAUCUUCAUUGAAUUUAGGAAUAUUUUUUUCUCGAAGUAGAUAAUGUAUACAUGAUCUGGCAGGAAAGAAGUAGCUCCAACAGAUUACAGCGUGUUAGAUAAUUUGUAAAAUAUGUUACUGAGUGUAAAUACUUCCCUAUUAUGUAAGAACAUUUAUCAAAAAGUAUUUUCACAAGAAAAAGAAAAAACAUUUUGGAAUACAUUUUGUGAUUUUUCGAAAAUCUAAAUAUUGAAGUUUUCUGCUUUUUUCAACAAACUAUACUUUAUUUAUUAUCGAUUUCUAUAAUUUGUGUGAAAUAAAUAUUUUUAUAUAAAAGAUAUUUUUACUAUUAGAAACAUAUGUGUAACAUGACCUACUAUCCCAAUCUUUUU